rnacentral:rRNA from 1 species
ACUGCUCAGUAACACGUGGACAAUCUGCCCUGAAGUGGAGAAUAAUCCCGGGAAACUGGGGGUAAUACUCCAUAGUUCGUUAUUACUGGAAUGUUUUUCGAACGAAAGAUCCGUCGCUUCAGGAUGAGUCUGCGGCCGAUUAGGUAGUUGUUGGGGUAAUUGCCCAACAAGCCUGUAAUCGGUACGGGUUGUGGGAGCAAGAGCCCGGAGAUGGAUUCUGAGACACGAAUCCAGGCCCUACGGGGCGCAGCAGGCGCGAAAACUUUACCAUGCGGGCAACCGUGAUAAGGAAACCCCGAGUGCCAGCACAGGCUGGCUGUCCGCCAGUUUAAACAACUGGCGAAGAAAGGGCCGGGCAAGACCGGUGCCAGCCGCCGCGGUAAUACCGGCGGCUCGAGUGGUGGCCGCUAUUACUGGGCUUAAAGGGUCCGUAGCUUGAUAAUAGGGUCCCUUGAGAAAUCCGCCGGCUUAACUGGCGGGCGUUCAGGGGAAACUUGUUUUCUAGGGACCGGGAGAGGUGAGGGGUACUGCCGGGGUAGGAGUGAAAUCCUGUAAUCCCGGUGGGACCACCUAUGGCGAAGGCAUCUCACCAGAACGGGUCCGACAGUGAGGGACGAAAGCUGGGGGAGCAAACCGGAUUAGAUACCCGGGCAGUCCCAGCUGUAAACUAUGUGCGUUAGGUGUGUCAGUGACCACGUGUCACUGAGGUGCCGAAGGGAAACCGUGAAACGCACCGCCUGGGGAGUACGGUCGCAAGGCUGAAACUUAAAGGAAUUGGCGGGGGAGCAC